CGCUGAUGGAGACUGAGCCCAACGGUAACCCACAGGCCAAAAACCACGAGGAAACCCCAUGGCGGCGCGCCAAAAGCACCGAAACAGAUCUGAAAACCCACAGGGCCGCAAACCAACAACCUCAGAUUUGUCGGGAAUGAGGUGGGUCACUGGAGAGCCAGCGAGGCACCGUCGCGCGCAAACCAACAACCUCAUAUAUGUCAGGAACGAGGUGGGUCACCGAAGAGACAGUGAGGCAUCGUCGACGGGAACUGGAAGGGCGUGAACACACGAGGACGAGGAGAAGCCGAACAGGAAAGGAAGACGCCGUCGGAACAAACCCAGAACU
rnacentral:lncRNA from 1 species